UACGGAGGGUGCAAGCGUUAUCCGGAUUUACUGGGUUUAAAGGGUGCGCAGGCGGAUAUGUAAGUCAGUGGUGAAAUCUCUGGGCUUAACCCGGAAAUUGCCAUUGAUACUAUAUAUCUUGAAUGCUGUGGAGGUAAGCGGAAUAUGUCAUGUAGCGGUGAAAUGCUUAGAGAUGACAUAGAACACCUAUUGCGAAGGCAGCUUACUACGCAGAUAUUGACGCUCAUGCACGAAAGCGUGGGGAUCAAACAGG
rnacentral:rRNA from 1 species